AGCGAACGCUGGCGGCAGGCUUAACACAUGCCAGUCGAACGCAUCACUUCGGUGGUGAGUGGCCGACGGGUGAGUACCACGUGGGAACGUACCCUUCGAUCUGGUAUAACUUCGGGAAACUGGAGCUAAUACCGGAUACGCCCUUUUGGGGAAAGGUUUACUGUCGAAGGAUCGGCCCGCGUCGGAUUAGCUAGUUGGUGGGGUAACGGCCUACCAAGGCGACGAUCCGUAGCUGGUCUGAGAGGAUGAGCAGCCACACUGGGACGGAGACACGGCCCAGACUCCUACGGGAGGCAGCAGUGGGUAAUAUUGGACAAUGGGCGCAAGCCUGAUCCAGCCAGGCCGCGUGAGUGAUGAAGGCCGUAGGGUAGUAAAGCUCUUUUGUCCGGGACGAUAAUGACGGUACCGGAAGAAUAAGCCCCGGCUAACUUCGUG
rnacentral:rRNA from 1 species